GUGUGUCUGUAUGUGUGUGUGUUUCUGUAUGUAUCUGUCUGUAUCAUACAGACACAUACAUACAGAUACACAUACAGACAG